rnacentral:rRNA from 1 species
UAGGGAAUCUUCCGCAAUGGACGCAAGUCUGACGGAGCAACGCCGCGUGAGUGAAGAAGGAUUUCGGUUCGUAAAACUCUGUUGUUAGAGAAGAACAGCGCAUAGAGUAACUGUUAUGCGUGUGACGGUAUCUACCAGAAAGCCACGGCUAACUACGUGCCAGCAGCCGCGGUAAUACGUAGGUGGCAAGCGUUGUCCGGAUUUAUUGGGCGUAAAGCGAGCGCAGGCGGUCAAUUAAGUCUGAUGUGAAAGCCCCCGGCUCAACCGGGGAGGGUCAUUGGAAACUGGUUGACUUGAGUGCAGAAGAGGAGAGUGGAAUUCCAUGUGUAGCGGUGAAAUGCGUAGAUAUAUGGAGGAACACCAGUGGCGAAGGCGACUCUCUGGUCUGUAACUGACGCUGAGGCUCGAAAGCGUGGGUAGCAAACAGG